GAUGAAGAACGCAGCGAAAUGCGAUAAGUAGUGUGAAUUGCAGAAUUCAGUGAAUCAUCGAAUCUUUGAACGCACAUUGCGCCCCUUGGUAUCCCGAGGGGCAUGCCUGUUCGAGCGUCAUUUCACCACUCAAGCCUGGCUUGGUGUUGGGCGACGUCCCCUUUGGGGACGCGCCUCGAAACGCUCGGCGGCGUGGCACCGGCUUUAAGCGUAGCAGAAUCUUUCGCUUUGGAAGUCGGGGCCCCGUCUGCCGUAAGACCUACUCGCAAGGUUGACCUCGGAUCAGGCAGGGAUACCCGCUGAACUUAAGCAUAUCAAUAAGCGGAGGA
rnacentral:misc_RNA from 1 species